rnacentral:rRNA from 1 species
GAUGAACGCUGGCGGCGUGCCUAAUACAUGCAAGUCGAGCGAACGGACGAGAAGCUUGCUUCUCUGAUGUUAGCGGCGGACGGGUGAGUAACACGUGGAUAACCUACCUAUAAGACUGGGAUAACUUCGGGAAACCGUAGCUAAUACCGGAUAAUAUUUUGAACCGCAUGGUUCAAAAGUGAAAGACGGUCUUUCUGUCACUUAUAGAUGGAUCCGCGCUGCAUUAGCUAGUUGGUAAGGUAACGGCUUACCAAGGCAACGAUGCAUAGCCGACCUGAGAGGGUGGUCGGCCACACUGGAACUGAGAAACGGUACAGACUCCUACGGGAGGCAGCAGUAGGGAAUCUUCCGCAAUGGGCGAAAGCCUGACGGAGCAACGCCGCGUGAGUGAUGAAGGUCUUCGGAUCGUAAAACUCUGUUAUUAGGGAAGAACAUAUGUGUAAGUAACUGUGCACAUCUUGACGGUACCUAAUCAGAAAGCCACGGCUAACUACGUG